rnacentral:rRNA from 1 species
AUUGAACGCUGGCGGAAUGCUUUACACAUGCAAGUCGAACGGCAGCACGGGGCAACCUGGUGGCGAGUGGCGAACGGGUGAGUAAUAUAUCGGAACGUGCCCAAUCGUGGGGAUAACGUAGCGAAGUUACGCUAAUACCGCAUACGAUCUACGGAUGAAAGCGGGGGAGUCGCAAGACCUCGCGCGAAUGGAGCGGCCGAUAUCAGAUUAGGUAGUUGGUGGGGUAAAGGCUCACCAAGCCAACGAUCUGUAGCUGGUCUGAGAGGAUGAUCAGCCACACUGGAACUGAGACACGGUCCAGACUCCUACGGGAGGCUG